rnacentral:rRNA from 1 species
GACGAACGCUGGCGGCGUGACUAAUACAUGCAAGUCGAACGCAGUGGGGACGGGUGAGUAACCAGUGGGUAACCUCCCCAUCAGAGGGGAUAACACUUGGAAACAGGUGCUAAACCGAUACUGAUGGAUGGACCCGCGGUGAAUUAGCUAGUUGGUGAGUUAACGGCUCACCAAGGCCACGAUGCAUAGCCGACCUACGAGGGUGAUCGGCCACACUGGGACUGAGCCACGGCCCAGACUCCUACGGGAGGCAGCAGUAGGGAAUCUUCGGCAAUGGACGAAAGUCUGACCGAGCAACGCCGCGUGAUUGAAGAAGGUUUUCGGAUCGUAAAACUCUUUUGUUAGAGAAGCGGUAUCUAACCAGAAAGCCACGGCUAACUACGUGCCAGCAGCCGCGGUAAUAC